rnacentral:rRNA from 1 species
UUCCGGUUGAUCCUGCCGGACCCCACUGCUAUCGGGAUGGGACUAAGACAUGCUAGUCGAGCGUCUCCAAGCUAUGGAAGAGACGCGGCAUACAGCUCAGUAACACGUGGCUAACCUGCCCUUGGGACAAGGACAACUCCGGGAAACUGGGGCUAAUCCUUGAUAGGUGAGAACUCCUGGAAUGGAUUCUUGCUGAAAGGACGUUUAGACCAUGCUUCUAGGCGUCGCCCAAGGAGGGGGCCGCGACCGAUCAGGUUGUUGGUGAGGUAACGGCUCACCAAGCCUUUAACCGGUACGGGCCGUGAGAGCGGAAGCCCGGAGAUGGGCACUGAGACAAGGGCCCAGGCCCUACGGGGCGCAGCAGUCGCGAAAACUCCGCGAUACACGAAAGUGUGACGGGGCUAUCCCGAGUGCCAUCCGCUGAGGAUGGCUUUUCCCCAGUGUAUAAAGCUGGGGGAAUAAGGAGAGGGCAAGCCUGGUGUCAGCCGCCGCGGUAAUACCAGCUCUCCGAGUGGUGGGGAUGUUUAUUGGGCCUAAAGCAUUCGUAGCCUGCUUGGCAAGUCCUCCGUUAAAUCCAACGAUCUAAUCGUUGGGCUGCGGGAGAUACUGUUGGGCUAGGAGGCGGGAGAAGCCGACGGUAUUCUCGGGGUAGGGGUGAAAUCCUGUAAUCCCGGGAGGACCACCAGUGGCGAAGGCGGUCGGCUAGAACGCGCUCGACGGUGAGGGACGAAAGCUGGGGGAGCGAAUCGGAUUAGAAACCCGAGUAGUCCCAGCUGUAAACGAUGCGGGCUAGGUGUUGGGGUGGCCACGAGCCACUUCAGUGCCGCAUGGAAGCAAUUAAGCUCGCCGCCUGGGGAGUACGCCGCAAGGCUGAAACUUAAGGAUUGGCCGGGGGAGCACCACAAGUGUGAGCUUGCCGUUUAUGGACUCAACGCCGGAA